UUUCUCUGAGUUGGGUCUGGCAUGGAGGCGGAUCUGACCCGUAUCUUGGGGAGGCAAACCCGGAGGGCAUUUCUAUCUCUCUAGAUCUAAUGCAACCGGGUUUUGCAGCCAUGGCGGCGACUCCUCUUGCCUGUUUUUCGAUUUUUCCAGAUCUGAGCCUCACUACCAAUUACUUCUCCUCUUGCCUAUUUUUCGAUUUUUCCAGAUUUGAGCCUCAUUUUCAGGCGGAAGCUGGCGGCCGAGAUUUGGAGAAGCGACGCCUCAUCUGGAUCUGGGCGGUUCGCCGGCCCAGGAGGAAGGCGGCAGCCGAGAUUUGGAGAAGAAGGGGUGAGCGACGGCGGCGGCGAGAGGCAAUAUCGUUUUUUUUUUCCUUUUUCUUUUUUUAAUUUUUAUUUUUUUUAAUUGUUAAAAGCUUUACAAAACGACGUCGUUUUGUAUGAUCGCCGGUAUGUCCACGUCUGUAAAUUCCGGGAGACACGUCAUCUAAGAUUUAGGGGAUGGUCAACGCAUGUGCAAAUCACAACAAAAUUAAAAGGUGGUGUAUUCUGAGGCCAUUUUUGAAGGUCAUGUGCAAUUUGCAAAUUUGGUGAUAGUUCAUGUAUUUUUUGGCUAUUA
rnacentral:lncRNA from 1 species